UUGUAUGUCUGAAUUCACAGUAUUUGAAAAACAGUAGGUGAAAGAACCCAGGUAUAGUGAAACCUUUUUAAAGAUUUGAAUCAAUUGAAUCACUUCACAAAAUGAUUCACAGUUUCAAAGCGCUCAAAACUCCUCACGCUAGUUGACGCCUGCUGGUCAAAACUGUGUAAAUGCAACAAAAACUCAGGCCAAACGUAUAAAACCAUUGGUGAACCAUUGACAUUUUUAAACAUUUCUAAACAAUUAUGGCAUUACAAAGCUUUGUUUAUUAAAAUCAUGUGACUUUGACAGUUUUAUAUGUCCUCCGAACCACUAGUUCAAAACAAUUUGCUAUGGAACAAACUUUUUUAAAGGUUGCAAAGUAAGUUUCAAAUCAAAUCAGUUGGCAGCCAUUUUUCUUUGCAGCGCCUGGGGAGCAGUUGGGGGUUCGGAGCCUUUCCUUUUCAAUGAAAUCUACAAAUAGAUGUUAACACAUUUUAGAUAAAUCAUUAACCUUGAUCAAAUGACCCAUGCCAUCUUAAAAGACACUGAAGGAAAUGUUUUGAGGACGUUCAUCUUUACAAAGAUGCCAACUUCCUUUUUUAAAUAUGUUUUUCUUGAUAAAAUUCCAUUCUAUUCAAAAUUGUAUUAAACAGAAGGAAAAAAAAUGUUUGCAAUUUAAAUUGCAUUAAACACAACAUUUAAUUAAAAUAAAUCUUUGUUUGUGGCAACAGUUUUUCAUUAAAUGAUGAAAUGUAUUUGCAUAGUUUACUGAUACGCUUGUACCUUUUGUGAAUCGGGUGUUGAAACAAUACUAACAACAUAUGCUGAUUAACCAUGCUAUCAGUUAGCACAAUGUAUUCUGUUUUUUACAUUAA